rnacentral:lncRNA from 1 species
AACAAACCAGCUUUCUAUUAUAGCACGAAUAUGAAUACAAGGUCUCCGAUAUUACAAUGAAUAACACCGGCACGGCGACACUAUGCCAACCAUAGUUGCUCUAUGCAAGCAGCAUAACAACUCGAGGCAGCGGAACCUCUACUGACAGCGGAAGAACUAUUGGUGGUGGAACAACCAAUGACGAUGAUGGACUCCAAUCCGCAGGGACUUUGGCUGGAACAUUUAUCCUAGCCUGCGAACACAGGAACCACACCAAACAAGCAAGCAAUCUAGGCACGACUUGUAAACUGGCAUGACACGCCAGGUCAGUACAUUGAAUGUACUUGCAAGCUCACAAUAACCAAAAGCAAUCAAGGCAAACAUCAGCAUGACAUUAGCAGGUUAAAUCAAUCAUGAGCAUGAUAUAUGGCAUACACAAACUGAACAUGAUAUGGCUAAGACAAGCAUAGCAUGAGCAUAUGAACAUGAUAAAACUACAUGCAACAAAUUAACAUCAUCAUGCACCAAAUUACUCUACUCGGGUUACCUCGUAACCAACACAUGCAUCAACUUACCAACAUCAGUAUCCACGAUACAACAGUGAUCCUCUCGGGAUCACGAAUAUCCAACAACUCGGUAUCCUUGAUGCCAACAACAUCUUUCUCAUCAUCGAACCAGGGUUGUUAUUAAUCAAGUUAUUAUUAUUGUUGGCUCAUAGUGUGACCUACUCCGAACUAGGCCCAUAUCCGCGGGCGCGGCUAUUGAUAGAUAUAACACACACACUCUGCAGAGGUAGCGCACUUUACCCACACCACGGAACCCAUGGCCUCGCACUCCCAUUCGGGUGGACCAACAACAUUCCGACGAAACCCUUCCCUUGCCAUGACACUCUCUCGGCCACUCAGACCAACUCCCUCUCAGGGCUAAGUCAUGGGUGGCCCCAAGCCUACAAAAGGCAUCUUCGGCCACCAUCGUGGCAAAAUAAACGGUCCCACAUGGGGACAUGGAUCCAUACAACAACAAACAGGCACACAAGGUUAUGUCUGCUUAUUGGUCCAGGGUACCGCACGCCCAUAACCUUCCCUCGUUGGAGGCACCGGCAAGAGGCAGGGGAGGGGGCAUGGGCGCACAUCGUCUUCCUCCCCAAGCCCACCCAGUUCCUCGCGUGAAGCAGAGGCAGAUCAGGGGAGGGGAAACGAGGGGAUCGGCCUGCUCCGGCCACCUCCGACCGAAGUGAGGCCACCGGAGGGCGCUGCGGGGCCAGCCGCACCCGUUCCCGGCUAGAGGGAGGCGCGGAACAGCGGCGAGGGGCGGCGCCAAGGAGGACAAAGGCGGAUGGGAGACGGUCUCCGACGGCGAGGCGGGGGAUCUCCAGCGAGGCUGAAGGUUCGGGGCGGACCGCGGGGUUGUGGGGAGUGCUCUGGUGGAGUCGGGGAGUCACGAGGAGCUCGGGAUGGUGGAGCAAUGGAGGUGGCCGAACGGCGGAGGCGGCGGCCGAACUAGGGAACCACGGCUAGAGGCACUCCGGCGACAAGCUAGAGGGGUGGGGCGAACCGCAGAGACGAGGGGAAUGCGACUGACAACUCGGGAGGAGGAGAGGGAGGCUAGGCUCGCUGAAACCAAGGAGGAAUCGCGGCGGCCGAGGUGAACUCCGGUGAAAAGAAGAGGGGUCGAGGGCUCCGGUGGUCGGGAGAGGCGUGGGAUGCACUUGGGAGCUGCGGGAGAGGUCGGGGUCUCUUAUAUAGGCCGAGGGGAGGCUUCUGGAGCUCACGGGCGAGAUCCCGACCAAACAUUAACGCUGGUCAAUGGCUAGGCAUGCCACGGGCGCGACGACGGCGACCAUAUGGAAGUGAUUCAGGGCGGGCAGCGACGCAGGGCGACUGAGUCGAGCACGGGUGAGCUACCAGACAUGAUUUGGUCGUGAGAGGCAGAUGGAGCGAAUGAGAACAGGGGCGAGGAAGACUCUAGAGCACGAGUGUGAUCACCACGCGCACUGGUGCAAAAUGAGAGUUUUGGCCAGGUCGACCGUGUCUAGUGCAUUUACCUUCGUGCCCUGAGUCUAAGCGAAGCAACAAGUCGGAUCAGGGGCAAAGAAGAGAUUUGCAGGAGGAGCCAAAAGGUUUUGGAAGCAAGGUGUUUGUGCUGUCCAGAGGGGGCACAAACCUGGGAACAAAGGAAGUGAUUUGUUUGUGCUUAUCACACAUUAAUAUGACCAUGAUCACCAGAAAUCAGCUUAAGAGGAGGAGUUUAGAGGGUGGUUGCUGUAGAAAGUGCCAUAAUGGCCAGAAAUGGAGAUUUGGAUGAUGCACUCACAUAGUUGCAUCAAAUGAGCUGAAAAUGGUUAUGGCUCGAUGAUUUGAAGAUAUUAAGAUUCCCAAGGAGUUUCAUGCCAUUUGGACGAACCAAAAUAGCACUUGCUUCACAUAGCUUCUCUCUGGAUAGAAACUUGGAAACAUUCCAAAGGACAAAUAGCUAAAUGGAUUGAGCCACAACUUGGUUCAGGGAGUUUAUAUGGGUAAGGGAAUGUCCUGGUAAAUUGGCAGCUUAAAUGAAGUAAUAUAAAAUAUAGUUGCUUCACAAACUGAAAAUCUGACCAGAAACUAAGAUUUGGAGCUAUGCUCACAUAGAAAGGUUACAUGAGCUCAUAUUGGGUUGAGAGUGAUGACUUGACCAAAUGAAGGAUGUGGCAAAAGUUCAUCUCAUUUGUACAUGCCUAGAAUAUACUUCCUUCACAAAGUUUCAUUCUGGGCAGAAACUUUGUAAAAUCAUACAAAAAUAAUUACUAGGCAAAUUUUGUUGAACUUUGGCACACGACAAUGAUAUGGAUAGGAAAAGGUGUCCAAGAAGUUGGGAGUGAAUUGGGCAAAGAUAAAUAGCAUUUGCUUCACAAAGUGCCAUUUAGGGCAGAAUAGGAAAAGAAUUAUUGGAGGAUUAUUUUUGAACAUGGCAAUGAAAUAGUUAGCCAUAUUUGAGCAAGAUAGGACCCACAUGUUUUAUGAGAAUUAUUUGGGAAUUUUAGGAGUGACAGAAAUAUGGGUUGCUUCACAAUCUAGGGCAAAUAUGAUAAUUCCUUUAUCAGAAAAGGAAUAUUCCCAAUAAAAAGAAUAUUGGGGUUUGGGAUAGGAUGAAAAUGACAUGAGCUAGGGAUGAAAAGCCACUAUAAAACCUAGGACGACAUGAUCUUCCCAAGUUUCAAAACCACACAGCCACCAAAAAGCAAAUUAAAUCCAGAAAUCCAAGAAAAUCCUUAGAAAAAGAAAAGGGAAAAAAUCUAGGCUGUUACAAACCUUCCCCCCUUAAAGAAAUCUUGUCUUCGAGAUUUGGUUGCUCAGGGGUAAUUAAUUUUCCUGACUUGAAGAAACCGUUUCGAACUCAUGUUUCUUUUAUUCAUUCUCCUAUAACAUUCCCACUGAAUUUGACCUGACUGACUGCCUUGAUCUGGUGUGGUUUGCUUCACCGUAUCUGACAUAUUGACAACACUUACUUCAUAUGUUCAUACUUAUACUGGCUCCAAUUCUUUUUAUAUCUGCUGACUUAGCUGACUGUGCAAUAUAUGCCUGUCUCAGAAAUCUGAGAGUGAUCUCUGAUUGCUGUGUCUAUACUGACAACCUUCCAUGAAGUGGGGAUCAUAAUUUUCGGAUGCACACCCAAGAUCUGACUCCUUGCAUUGGGUUUCUCCACUAAAUGCAGGUCCUUUGGGUUCCAAACAGUGAAUUGAGGCAUAACCAUUUCCUGACAGAUUUUGACUCAUCGUAGGAAUUUCUGAAUCGUCCUAACUGGCUCCACUAUGUGGUGUAUCAUAUCUGUACCAAAUGUUUGACUGUUCCUUGUCAUGGCCAGCAUGAAGGGGUAUGACCUUAUAUGAUAAUAUCCUCAGAGUUGACUAAUGGGGGUUCUGGCAGAAGGAUUUUUCCCACGACAGGCUAUCCAUGAUUCACUUAAGUGAGGGCACAUGCUUCGAGACUAUCUUUCAACAUUCUGAUUGCUCAUCCAAAAUUAAGUAGACCUCAUAGGUGAAUAUUGAUGGUGAUCAGCUCACUGACUCAGACUGUCCGGGGUAUCUGCACCAUGUGGUUCAUGCAACAAUCAUCAGUCUUGCUCCUCCAUUACUGUUUUCUUGAUCCAGAUCCUUUGCUGAACGAGCAGGGUCAUAUUGUUUCUCCGUGUGACCAUAGGAUCUGUCGGGUGAAAUAUUCUGACAGACGUACUCUUAUCCUCAUCUUCUGACAUGGUAACCCACUAAAUGGCAGGUUCAUCACUUCUCAAGUUCUGACCGUAGGAAAAUGAUCAUCUGAACCCUUGCAAGAAAUCAGCAAAUAAAUCAGUAGCCACCAGAACGGUCUUGACAACUCAGAUCUGGGACAUUACUGAAAUAACUCAACCACAGCUCGGGACGGCCGAAAAGCAGCUCAGAGCAUGAGACCGAGUCGAUAAGAAGAAAAUGGCAGCUCCCUAAGAUAGCCAAAAAGCAGGCAUAGGGCCACUGUCACAAAAAGAAACUCAACAGCCGUACAAGACGACCGGAAAGCAGCUCAGAACUCGUGACAGUUGUUGAAAAGAUAAAUAAAAAUUGGCAUCCACCCCGGAUGGCUAAUAACAUCUGAGAUCACAAGUGUGGUGCCGUCACUGGAGAAAAGGGGACAAGGGCUCAUCAGGAUCAUCUUCCAGGUUCACAGGUACUUGUACAGAGCUCACUGUUGUUGUCAAUCUUCAUAGUCCUUUGUCACACUGAGGUGUAUAGCUAACUUCCUUCUUUUAACAAUUCUCGUGUGACUGCCAAAUCUGUGUUUGAGUGACUUGUAAUACCUUGGUGGUAUGCUGACCGCAUAUAUAUGAGAAUCUGAUUCCCGAGGCAGAUUUGCUUUCCAACUGAUUCUUGCUUCUGACCAAACUGUUGCGAAUCUGAGGCUUGGAAAACACUGCCACAUGCUGACAAACCACUGUUUAUUUCCUUGUACCAGUGCUGCACUGAAGAUGAUUAGGCACCUUGCUUCGGAAUCCAUCAAGGUAUCGUGCUGCGAAAGACUGGAUAGCUUGUGCUCGAAGCUUUCUGCGGAUAUCUUGCUGAGGAAGACUGGGUACCGUACCUUAUAAGCUUCCCCCCUUAAGAACUUACUAGGGAAGACUCGGUACCUUAUACCAGAAGUUUUUGCAGUAUCCAAUUGAAAUGACUGAAUAUCUUGCACUGGAAUCCAUACCUUUCUGAUGGAGAAUGAGGAAUCUUGCCUUGUAUGCUCUGUUGAUAAAUUGUGGAGAAGGACUGGGCUGAUCUUCUGGGGUUGCAUGCUUCAAAUCUGACUCAUGGCAGAAUCAAUCAUCGGGUACAGGCCAUACUUCUGACUUGAAAUGCACGGUUGGACUAGGAUUAAUUUUGUUCUCUUGCUGAUUUAACCAUUGCUGCAAUAAAAGUGUAUCUCUGACGGGUACUAAAAAUCUGAGCAGACUAUACCUGUAUUCAGACCGGGUGUCUGCAAUACGAUACUGUCAGUUGAAAAUAUCAUUGCUUUAACAGAGUUCCUUGGUGUAUAUCUGUACUUCUCAUGGCUUCUUCUAAUCGAUGUCGGUUGAUGAGCAAUUUCCAUAAGGGGGUAACACCAAGGAUUUAAAACAAAGAAGCACGAGAAAACGAUCGAUUGCAGUAGAGCACACAACAAACAAGCUACAAAAAUAAUCCAAACAGGCACACACAAGCAUGAACAAGCAAUGAUACUACAGCAGAUGCACAUGCACUACCCGACUGACUACACCCUAUGCUUGAGCACAUGCGCGGGAGCUGACGAAGAAGCUAUGGGAGUAGCGAGUGGAACGGCUGACUCUGAAACUCCGGACGGACAAGGCAGAGGGGUUGGUGAAGCUGGCAGAGACUGAGGUAGGGAAGCACCAAGAAAUCUCCUGGCUCGAAUGGCGUCUCGGACUAACUCAGAAAUAAGAAGGCACUCGACCGUCAUGUAAUGGGACAUGGCGAAGAUAGCCGGGUCUUCUUGAGGGUUGACAGAUGGAACUUGGAUCCGCUUAGGAUUCUCGAUGAUGGUGGGAUAGUAUUGAUAAGCAUGGUUCUCUUGCAACAUGCUCUCUUGACAACGAAGACCGGUGAUUGCUGCCAUUGCGGCAAGAUGAACAACACGCUCGGGAGUAGCGCCUUAACCACUGUGGAAACUGUAGGUGCGCUUACCAAUAGGAAUCGGGGCUAACAGAUGGACAUGGGCAACAUACUCCAGGAUUCUUCCUCCGGCAGAAAACUGGAAUACUUGAUAUUAAGGUGGAUCUCCACGGGGAUAAAUGCUAUGCCACAUAUCGCCAAGGAGGGUGGCAAAGUUGAGAGGUGCAGGAGUGUGGCUGAACGCAAUAGGAACAACACCGGGAGCUUUGGGAAGGGUAUUCAACUCGUGGAAAUUGACCGCCAUCUACGCACGAAACAUGGGUUAGGGGUAACCGAAUAAGACUAUAUGCAACAAACAAAUGCAACCAAAUGCAACAAGAAAGGGCAACAACCUGACCAUAUACUACCAUUUUCUAACAUUCCAGUGGACUAGGAUGCUCUACAGCCAGACCUGCUCUGAUACCAAGCUUGUGGCACCCCGACUCAGAUAAACUGGAACGCACCCAUAUUCCAGCCCAGAGAUCAAGGUGAAGUCUUCUGGAAUACGACACUACUUAGCAUAGAACAAACCAGCUUUCUAUUAUAGCAUGAAUAUGAAUACAAGGUCUCCAAUAUUACAAGGAAUAACACCAGCACGGCGACACUAUGCCAACCAUAGUUGCUCUAUGCAAGCAGCAUAACAACUCAAGGCAGCGGAACCUCUACUGAUAGUGGAAGAACUAUUGGCAGCGAAACAACGAACGACGAUGAUGGACUCCAAUCCACAGGGACUCUGGCUGGAACGUUUACCCUAGCUCGGGAACAUAGGAACCACACCAAACAAGCAAGCAAUCCAGGCACGACCUGCAAACUGGCAUGACACGCCACGUCAGUACAUUGAAUGCACUUGCAAGCUCACAAUAACCAAAAGCAAUCAAGGCAAACAUCAGCAUGGCAUUAGCAGGUUAUAUCAAUCAUGAGCAUGAUAUAUGGCAUACACAAACUGAACAUGAUACGGCUAAGACAAGCAUAGCAUGAGCAUAUGAACAUGAUAAAACUACAUGCAACAAAUUAACAUCAUCAUGCAUCAACUUACUCUGCUCGGAUUACCUUGUAACCAACACAUGCAUAAACUUACCAACAUCAGUAUCCAUGAUACAACGGUGAUCCUCUCGUGAUCACGAAUAUCCAACAACUCGGUAUCCUUGAUACCGCCAACAUCUUUCUCAUCAUCGAACCAGGGUUGUUAUUAAUCAAGUUAUUAUUACUGUUAGCUCAUAGUGUGACCUACUCCAAACUGGGCCCAUAUCCGCGGGUGCGGCUAUCGAUAGAUUUAAUACACACACUCUGCAGAGGUAGCGCACUUUACCCACACCACAGAACCCAUGGCCUCGCACUCCCAUUCGGGUGGCCCAACGGCGUUCCAACGAAACCCUUCCCUUGCCAUGACACUCUCCCGGCCACUCCGACCAACUCCCUCUCACGUCUAAGUCAUGGGUGGCCCCAUGCCUACCAAAGGCAUCUUCGGCCACCAUUGUGGCAAAAUAAAUGGUCCCAAACGAGGACAUGGAUCCAUACAACAACAAACGGGCACACAAGGUUAUGUAUGCUUACCGAGCCAGGGUACCGCAUGCCCAUAACCUUCCCUCGUUGGAGGCACCAGCAAGAGGCAUGACAAAGGACCGAAUCAAGACCCCCCCCCCAUAAAGGUAAAUGUGGUUGCACUGGUCAGCUUGAUUCAGUGGCACCAUGACUCAGCCAACAGAUGUUCAAGUUCAUUAUUAUCCGGUUAAACUUGAAUGCAAUAAUCUAAGUCAUAAAAAUUACAUGAUGCAACUACGAUGCAUGAGCAUGAUAUCAACAUAAGCAUGGAGGUGCAACAUAAUCAUCGAGCAUAACCAUAAUGAAUCAUAUAUCCGAAUGAGCAUGGCAUACCGACGAGCAUGAAUAACAUAAAUCUACCAUAAGCAAAGCAUGACCACUAGCAUCAUGAAUAAAUACCAUGCAUAACCAUAGCAGAAACACUACCAAGUAAGCAUGUAACCAACUAGAUGCAACAGAACCAACAUAGCAACGGUACUAAAUAUCAGACUAAGCAUGCAUCCGCAGAACAUCGCAACUACUAGCAUGUAUUAUGAUACGUCUCCAAUGUAUCUAUAAUUUUUUAUUUUUCCAUGCUAUUAUGUUACCCAUUUUGGAUGUUUAUGGGUUUUACUUUACACUUUUAUAUCAUUUUUGGGACUAACCUACUAACCGGAGGCCCAUCCCAAAUUGGUGUUUUUUUUGCCUAUUUCAGUGUUUCAAAGAAAAGGAAUAUCAAACGGAGUCCAAACGGAAUGAAACCUUCGGGAGCGAUCUUUUUGAAACAAACAUGAUCCAGAGGACUUGGAGUGGAAGUCAAGAAACAAGCGAGGCGUCCACGAGGGUGCCCGGCACGCCCCCCGCCAUCAAGGGCCCCUCGAGUGUCCACCAACCUACUUCUUCCUCCUAUAUAUACCCAUGUACCCCAAAAACAUCAGAAGCGACCACGAAAAACUAUUUCCACCGCCGUAACCUUCUGUAUCCGCGAGAUCCCAUCUUGGAGCCUUCGUCGGUGCUCCGCCGGAGGGGAAAUCGACCAUGGAGGGCCUCUACAUCAUCUCCAAGGCCUCUCCGAUGAGUUGUGAGUAGUUUACCACAGACCUUCGGGUCCAUAAUUAUUAGCUAGAUGGCGUCUUCUCUCUCUUCGAAUCUCAAUACAAAGUUAUCCUCGAUCUUCUUGGAGAUCUAUUCGAUGUAACUCUUUUUGCAGUGUGUUUGUCGAGAUCCGAUGAAUUGUGGGUUUAUGAUCAAGUUUAUCUAUGGGAAAUAUUUAAAUCUCUUCUGAAUUCUUUUAUGUGUGAUUAAGUUAUCUUUGCAAGUCUCUUCGAAUUAUCGGUUUGGUUUGGCCUACUAGAUUGAUCUUUCUUGCAAUGGGAGAAGUGCUUAGCUUUGGGUCCAAUCUUGCGGUGUCCUUUCCCAGUGACAGCAGGGGCAGCAAGGCACGUAUUGUAUUGUUGCCAUCGAGGAUAAAAAGAUGGGGUUUAUUCAUAUUGCAUGAGUUUAUCCCUCUACAUCAUGUCAUCUUUCUUAAUGCGUUACUCUGUUCUUUAUGAACUUAAUACUCUAGAUGCAUGCUGGAUAGCAAUCGAUGUGUGGAGUAAUAGUAGUAGAUGCAGAAUCGUUUCGGUCUACUUGUCACGGACGUGAUGCCUAUAUACAUGAUCAUGCCUAGAUAAUCUCAUAAUUAUUCGCUUUUCUAUCAAUUUCUCGAUAGUAAUUUGUUCACCCACCGUAAUACUUAUGCUAUCUUGAGAGAAGCCACUAGUGAAACCUAUGCCCCCCGGGUCUAUCUCUUAUCAUAUAAGCUUUCAAUCUACUUUUAUUUUCAUCUUUACUUUUCCAAUCUAUAUCAUAAAAUACCAAAAAAUAUAUUUAUCUUAUCAUAUUAUCUCUAUCAGAUCUCACUUUCGCAAGUGGCCUUGAAGGGAUUGACAACCCCUUUAUUGCGUUGGUUGCGAGUUCUUGUUUGUUUGUGUAGGUGCAUGGGACUUUUGAGGAGCCUCCUACUGGAUUGAUACAUUGGUUCUCAAAAACUGAGGGAAAUACUUACGCUACUAUUGCUGCAUCACCCUUUCCUCUUCAAGGAAAACCAACACAAGCUCAAGAUGUAGCAUAUUACUAGUACCAAGCAUGACUUACGAACAUGAUACUAGCAAGUAGCACAAUAUAUCACGAUGCAACAUAAGAUAGCAGGAAUGUGGACACGAGUCCACGAGUAAAAUUGAAACAACGGCAGUAGCAACAAACAAGCAGGCAGAUAACGACAAAAUUUUAUUAAAUAUUCAAGUUGAAAACCAAGGCUACUUCAUUACUAUCAUGCAAGUGGCUGUUGUGGCUUGCCCGGGGGUGACGGAGACUCCAGGAAGAAGUGCGGUGAAGCCACGGAAACAGAACACCGGACGGUUCUCUCUCGAAGGGGGCUGAUAAGGGCAAUGGCAAACUGGUCAUUUUCACUGUGGGACCACUAGUGAAAAUGGAACCAAGAGAAAGAGCUCGACAAUACGAAGAUGAUAGCGUUGGUUUCACAUCGAUCGGAGUUACGGUCAUCCAGAUACGAAGAGAAGAAGUGGAGGGACCAAACUGUAAAAAGAAUAUUCACAAACAAGUCCCUGAUUGGAUAAGGCAGAGGCGCAGAAUCAAAAAUACGCUUUCUUAACAGGAAAACGUACUUCGGGCCGAAGCAGAAGGAAAUACGCUUUCCAAUCAAGAAAACGUACUUAUGGAAGACAGAGGAAGAAACUACGCUUUCAGAAUGAGAAAAUGUAUUGGAGUAGAAUACGCUUUUGGUCAAAUGUAAACGGACUAACCCGGGAGCAUUUCCACUUGCCAUGUCAGCGGCGCGCCUGGGCCACUGACGGGCCGGGCCCAGCGGCAGGGGAGGGGGCACGGGCGCACGUCGUCUUCCUCCCCGCGCCCGCCCUGUUCUUCGCGUGAAGCGGAGGCAGAGCAGGGGAGGGGCGACGAGGGGACCGGCCACCUCCGGCCAAAGCGAGGCCACCGGAG